UUACGACCAUAUCACGUUGAAACACCGGAUCUCAUACAAUCAAUAAAGUUAAACAAUGUUGACCUUGGUUAGUACCUCGAUUGGUGACCACUUGGGAAUACU